AGUGAACGCUGGCGGUAGGCCUAACACAUGCAAGUCGAACGGCAGCACAGUAAGAGCUUGCUCUUACGGGUGGCGAGUGGCGGACGGGAGAGGAAUACAUCGGAAUCUACUUUUUCGUGGGGGAUAACGUAGGGAAACUUACGCUAAUACCGCAUACGACCUACGGGUGAAAGCAGGGGAUCUUCGGACCUUGCGCGAUUGAAUGAGCCGAUGUCGGAUUAGCUAGUUGGCGGGGUAAAGGCCCACCAAGGCGACGAUCCGUAGCUGGUCUGAGAGGAGGAUCAGCCACACUGGAACUGAGACACGGACCAGACGCCUACGGGAGGCAGCAGUGGGGAAUAUGGGACAAUGGGCGGAAGCCUUAUCCAGCCAUACCGCGUGGGUGAAGAAGGCCUUCGGGUUGUAAAGCCCUUUUGUUGGGAAAGAAAAGCAGCAGGUUAAUACCCCGCUGUUCUGACGGUACCCAAAGAAUAAGCACCGGCUAACUUCGUG
rnacentral:rRNA from 1 species